GAUGAACGCUGGCGGCGUGCCUAAUACAUGCAAGUCGAGCGAACGGACGAGAAGCUUGCUUCUCUGAUGUUAGCGGCGGACGGGUGAGUAACACGUGGAUAACCUACCUAUAAGACUGGGAUAACUUCGGGAAACCGGAGCUAAUACCGGAUAAUAUUUUGAACCGCAUGGUUCAAAAGUGAAAGACGGUCUUGCUGUCACUUAUAGAUGGAUCCGCGCUGCAUUAGCUAGUUGGUAAGGUAACGGCUUACCAAGGCAACGAUGCAUAGCCGACCUGAGAGGGUGAGCGGCCACACUGGAACUUAGACACGGUCCAGACUCCUACGGGAGGCAGCAGUAGGGAAUCUUCCGCAAUGGGCGAAAGCCUGACGGAGCAACGCCGCGUGAGUGAUGAAGGUCUUCGGAUCGUAAAACUCUGUUAUUAGGGAAGAACAUAUGUGUAAGUAACUGUGCACAUCUUGACGGUACCUAAUCAGAAAGCCACGGCUAACUACGUG
rnacentral:rRNA from 1 species